GACGAACGCUGGCGGCGUGCUUAACACAUGCAAGUCGAACGGAGUGGCGAACGGGUGAGUAACACGUGGGUGACCUGCCCUGCACUUCGGGAUAAGCCCGGGAAACUGGGUCUACUACCGGAUAGGGUGGGAUGGGCCCGGGGCCUAUCAGCUUGUUGGUGGGGUAAUGGCCUACCAAGGCGGCGACGGGUAGCCGGCCUGGGAGGGUGGACGGGCACAAUGGGACUGAGACACGGCCCAGACUCCUACGGGGGGCAGCAGGGGGGAGUAUUGCGCAAUGGGGGAAACCCUGAUGCAGCAACGCCGCGUGCGGGAUGACGGCCUUCGGGUUGUAAACCGCUUUCAGCCAUGACGCGGUAGUGGCAGAAGAAGCACCGGCUAACUACGUGCCAGCAGCCGCGGUAAUUC
rnacentral:rRNA from 1 species